rnacentral:rRNA from 1 species
GACGAACGCUGGCGGCGUGCUUAACACAUGCAAGUCGAACGGAAAGGCCUGCUUUCCCUUGUGGAUUGCGGGUACUCGAGUGGCGAACGGGUGAGUAACACGUGAGUGAUCUGCCCCCAACUUGGGUAUAAGCCUGGGAAACUGGGUCUAAUUCCCGAUAGGACUGCAGGGUGGUGCCUGUGGUGGAAAACGAUUUUCUAGUGGUUGGGGAUGAGCACGCGGCCUAUCAGCUUGUUGGUGGGGUAAUGGCCUACCAAGGCGGCGACGGGUAGCCGGCCUGAGAGGGUGGACGGCCACAUUGGGACUGAGAUACGGCCCAGACUCCUACGGGAGGCAGCAGUGGGGAAUAUUGCACAAUGGGCGGAAGCCUGAUGCAGCGACGCCGCGUGGGGGAUGACGGCCUUCGGGUUGUAAACUCCUUUCGACCGCGAGGAAGCCACCUGGUUGGAAGGGUGGUGACGGUAGUGGUAGAAGAAGCACCGGCUAACUACGUG